rnacentral:rRNA from 1 species
UACGGGGGGGGGCAAGCGUUUGUUCGGAAUUACUGGGCGUAAAGGGCUCGUAGGCGGCCAACUAAGUCGGAUGUGAAAUCCCCAGGCUCAACCUGGGAACUGCAUCCGAUACUGGAUGGCUUGAAUUCGGGAGAGGGAUGCAGAAUUCCAGGUGUAGCGGUGAAAUGCGUAGAUGUCUGGAGGAAUACCGGUGGCGAAGGCGGCAUCCUGGACCGACAUUGACGCUGAUGAGCGAAAGCUAGGGGAGCAAACGGGG